rnacentral:rRNA from 1 species
UACGGAGGGUGCAAGCGUUAUCCGGAUUCACUGGGUUUAAAGGGUGCGUAGGUGGGCAGGUAAGUCAGUGGUGAAAUCCUGUAGCUUAACUACAGAACUGCCAUUGAUACUAUCUGUCUUGAAUACCCUGGAGGUGAGCGGAAUAUGUCAUGUAGCGGUGAAAUGCUUAGAUAUGACAUAGAACACCCAUUGCGAAGGCAGCUCACUACGGGAAUAUUGACACUGAGGCACGAAAGCGUGGGGAUCAAAC